UACGGCCACAUUACGUUGAACCACCUGUUUCCAUACGAUCAGAGAAGUUAAGCAACGUUGAGCCUGGUUAGUACUUAGAUGGAUGACCACUUAGGAAUACCAGGUGCUGCGAG